GACGAACGCUGGCGGCGUGCUUAACACAUGCAAGUCGAACGGAAAGGCCCUGCUUUUGUGGGGUGCUCGAGUGGCGAACGGGUGAGUAACACGUGAGUAACCUGCCCUUGACUUUGGGAUAACUUCAGGAAACUGGGGCUAAUACCGGAUAGGAGCUCCUGCUGCAUGGGGGGGGUUGGAAAGUUUCGGCGGUUGGGGAUGGACUCGCGGCUUAUCAGCUUGUUGGUGGGGUAGUGGCUUACCAAGGCUUUGACGGGUAGCCGGCCUGAGAGGGUGACCGGCCACAUUGGGACUGAUAUACGGCCCAGACUCCUACGGGAGGCAGCAGUGGGGAAUAUUGCACAAUGGGCGGAAGCCUGAUGCAGCAACGCCGCGUGCGGGAUGACGGCCUUCGGGUUGUAAACCGCUUUCGCCUGUGACGAAGCGUGAGUGACGGUAAUGGGUAAAGAAGCACCGGCUAACUACGUG
rnacentral:rRNA from 1 species